rnacentral:rRNA from 1 species
CAGCCGCCACGGUAAUACGUAGGUGGCAAGCGUUGUCCGGAAUUAUUGGGCGUAAAGGGCUCGCAGGCGGUUUCUUAAGUCUGGUGUGAAAGCCCCCGGCUCAACCGGGGAGGGUCAUUGGAAACUGGGAAACUUGAGUGCAGAAGAGGAGAGUGGAAUUCCACGUGUAGCGGUGAAAUGCGUAGAGAUGUGGAGGAACACCAGUGGCGAAGGCGACUCUCUGGUCUGUAACUGACGCUGAGGAGCGAAAGCGUGGGGAGCGAACAGGAUUAGAUACCCCGGUAGUCCCUGUCUCUUAUAC